AACGCUAGCUACAGGCUUAACACAUGCAAGUCGAGGGGCAGCAUUAUCGAAGCUUGCUUUGAUAGAUGGCGACCGGCGCACGGGUGAGUAACGCGUAUCCAACCUUCCCCAUAGUCAGGAAUAGCCCGGCGAAAGUCGAAUUAAUGCCUGAUGUUUUCCACGGACGGCAUCCGAUGUGGAACAAAGAUUCAUCGCUAUGGGAUGGGGAUGCGUCUGAUUAGCUUGUUGGCGGGGUAACGGCCCACCAAGGCAACGAUCAGUAGGGGUUCUGAGAGGAAGGUCCCCCACAUUGGAACUGAGACACGGUCCAAACUCCUACGGGAGGCAGCAGUGAGGAAUAUUGGUCAAUGGGCGGAAGCCUGAACCAGCCAAGUAGCGUGAGGGAAGACUGCCCUAUGGGUUGUAAACCUCUUUUAUAAGGGAAUAAAAUACGGGACGUGUCCUGUUUUGCAUGUACCUUAUGAAUAAGGACCGGCUAAUUCCGUGCCAGCAGCCGCGGUAAUACGGAAGGUCCAGGCGUUAUCCGGAUUUAUUGGGUUUAAAGGGAGCGCAGGCGGUCUUAUAAGCGUGACGUGAAAUGCAGCGGCUCAACCGUAUGAUGUGCGUCGCGAACUGUGAGACUUGAGUGUAUUCGAUGUCAGCGGAAUUUGUGGUGUAGCGGUGAAAUGCUUAGAUAUCACGAAGAACUCCGAUUG
rnacentral:rRNA from 1 species